rnacentral:sRNA from 1 species
GCAGCCUCGCAAGCCCGAGCGGCUGUGUGCGGUGCGUGGUGCGUGAGCCCCCAGCGCAGGCCGGGAUGUUCGUCCUGGUGGAGAUGGUGGACACCGUGCGGAUCCCCCCUUGGCAGUUUGAGAGGAAGCUCAACGACUCCAUUGCCGAGGAGCUGAACAAGAAGUUGGCCAACAAGGUCGUGUACAACGUGGGACUCUGCAUUUGUUUGUUUGAUAUCACCAAACUGGAGGAUGCCUAUGUAUUCCCUGGGGAUGGCGCAUCACACACCAAAGGUGGGUAUCUUCUGUCCCUGGGGCAUUGGGUUUCUUGGGGCUCAGUUUUCUGUAGCCAAAGGUCAAGCCAAAGCCAGGUUCAGUGGUGCGUGCCUGUAAGGCUGAGGGCAGAAGGAUCUCUUGAGCCACGGAGUUCAAGGCCAGCCUGGGCAACAUAGCAAGACCCUGUCUUUAAAUAAAUAAAUAAAAUAUUUAAAAAAUUUUAAUAGGCUAAAGCCAAAGAGAUGGCCACGGGGUGGUGGGAGUCCUGGAGGUUGGGAGACCUGGGGUCUCAUCCUGAAUCGGCCAGGAAUUGACCUGGUGACAGUGGCAGAAUUCUCUUCUUUGGGCCUCUGUUUCCUCAUCUGUGAGGCCUGAGAUGUGGACUAGUUGGUUCUCAAGGCCUCUUCAGCUCUGACAUCAUAGCUCUGUGUCUGUGCCCUUUUGGUCUCAUUGCUACUGAGCCCUGCACCUUGUCCAUCCCUCAGGCUGCCCGCUGCCUGUGGAGAGCAGACGGAAGGGGGAUCAGCAGGCUGGCUGGGGGUGGGGGACUUCGAUAGUAGGACACAGUAGGUAAGAGUGUGGCCUCGAGAUUCAAAGCUGAGCUCUGCUUCUUACUAACUGUGUGUCCUGGUUGAAUAUGUCAUCGCUGUGUGCCUCUGCUUCCUCAUCUGUCAGUUGCAGUUCAGGAUGUCAACUGCAGUUCAGGAUAGAUUUUAUAUUCUAAGACCAUUGUGAGGAUUAAGGAGUUAAUACAUGAAAGCUCUUAGGACAGAGCCUUGGCACCUAACGAGCACUCAGUGACUUAUCAGCGUGGAUUGUUUCUCCCUAUUCUGUGGGUCAGUUGGGUGGUUUUCCUCUCGUCUGGCUGGCCUGGGGCUGGACAAUCUAGGAUGGUCUUACAUUCUGAAGGUUGGCAGACUGGUUGGUUACUGGGGUCCUGGGCUGGGCUGGCCCAUCUCUGCCCCACAUGGUCUCAUCUUUCAGUAGGCCAGGCUGGGCUUGGCGGUUUUAAGGUUCCAAAGUUCAGUGCGUAAGUACUUCUCAAGCCUCUGCUUCCAUCCCAUUGGCUAGGGUGAGGGGAUGGAGAAAUAGACUUCACCUCUGGGUGGGAGAAACUGCAGUCACAUUGCAAAAGGGUGUGCAUCCAGGGAUGGAAGGUGGUUACCAGAUCCUGGAAGGAGAGAGGAGUAGAGAGAGGACCACCCUGAGAGGAGCCAGGACCACCAGUCAAGGGAGGUGAUGAGCCCCGGGAGAGGGGCAUUCUUCAUUCUCAUGUCUGGACCAAACCAGUGUAGGAGAUGGUAAGAGGCCCAUUGAGACGGUUCAGGCUCCCAGAGCGCAGGCACCAAGCCUGCCAUCCCCUGGGCACUCAGAAGCGCAAUUCUCAGCCUGCCCCAGGCCUCCUGAGUCAGAAUCUUGGGGGACGGGCCCAAAUACUUUUUUUUAUUUUUUAUUUUUUUUAAGACAGAGUCUCGCUCUGUUGCCCAGGCUGGAGUACAGAAGCGCAAUCUUGGCUCACUGCAACCUCCACCUCCCAGCAUCAAGCGAUUCUCCUGCCUCAGCCUCCCGAGUAGCUG